CGCUGCCUUGGGGAUUUGCAUCUGGAAGCGGCCACCAGUUUCCUGCUGGGAAUCCUGGAAAGAGAACUCGGUGAGAAAUGCGAAUGCUGCAGCUGGAGCGCUGAGAGGGGAGAGUCUGCAGGGAAUGUGUCUGGGCAGCGUGUGAGCCCAGGCCAUCCUCCCUGGAGCAGGGACAGCCGAGGAUGAGCCGCAGGGAUUCAGCCAUCAGAGCAGGCCAGGAAGAAUCCCCAAACUCCUCCCAGCGUUGCCCAAACCUUUGGUGUUUGAGCAGCCCCAGCCCAGCCGUGCCCUGCUG